UACGGGGGGGGUAAGCGUUGUUCGGAUUCACUGGGCGUAAAGGGUGCGUAGGCGGUCGGGUAAGUCUGACGUGAAAUCUCCGAGCCCAACUCGGAAACUGCGUCGGAUACUAUUCGGCUAGAGGAAUGGAGGGGAGACUGGAAUUCUCGGUGUAGCAGUGAAAUGCGUAGAUAUCGAGAGGAACACCAGUGGCGAAGGCGAGUCUCUGGACAUUUCCUGACGCUGAGGCACGAAAGCCAGGGGAGCAAACGGG
rnacentral:rRNA from 1 species